CAGGUAUCGGUAGAACAGGAACAUUAAUAGCGAUAGAUAUCCUCCUGCAACAUCUUAGAGAUAAUAGAAAGUUAGACGUUUUCGGAACUGUAUACAGACUGCGACAUCAUAGAAUAAAUAUGGUGCAAAGAGAAAGUCAAUAUGCUUAUAUAUAUAAUUGUAUAAAACAAGUACUCAAGAAUCCCUAUUUCUUAAAAACUUAUAAACCACCACCCGUUGAUCCAGUAUACGAAAAUAUCUCUAAGAUCAAAGAUACAACGAAUUCAGAUACAAAUCUAGUCAACAACCUUGAAACAUAAUGAGAGUCUCUUCUUCAACUAUAUCUAAUACGUGAUGAGUAAAAAAACAUAAUAGCUCCAUAUCUAUGGAGUCUUUGGAAUCAAUCUACAGUCUCUUUCCUUGGUCAACAAAAUACCAACGAAGAAACGUAAUAGAUAGCGGUUUGAGACAAUACAAAUCGAUGGGUUCCAUAAAUGUAAAGACCUGUCACAUUUCUAUAGGAAAAUCCCGUACUUUGGACUGUGUCAUUUAUAAAUCACUGAACAAUUCAUCAUAUAAAUUAAGUAGAGAAAAUUUAAAACAGGAGAGCUUUCCAUUAUUAACUUGUUCGAGAUCAGCUCAAGAUGUACUUGGCAAUAACACGCAAUAUGCAAUGAACAGUAAGCCUUAUAUCAUUUUGUUGAAAUCUAUAUUAUGUUGCAUGAAUUGUGCAUUAUACUUUUUUUCACAACAGUGAUUUAUGAAAUCUAUAUUUUUUUGCAGACAUGUGAAAAAGAUGAUUGAGUUAUAUAAUUUACAUGUGUUAAAUUAUAAUCAGAGAAUACAUAGAUAUAUUCGACCAGAGUAUAAACUAUAAAUAUAUGUAAAUAAACAAUACGUUGACAAAAAAUUCUUAGGAAAAUUAAGAAUUCUUAGAAUAGAAUGUUACUUUAUACAUUCUUUACAAAUAAUCACAAUUUUAUUGGACAUUCCCAUAUAUGAAUGUAUAUGAUACCAAAAUGUAUUAAAUGAUACUGUAUUUAAUGCUUAUACCAGCAUUAUCAGAUAUUAUCUUAAACAAUCUCUAGUCCAACUAGAAUUGAAAAACAUCAAAUAAUAGAAGCAAAGAAAUUGCAUUUAGGACAUGUAAUAUAUAUCCAUAAGAAUUGUAUAUAUAUUUCUACAGCUUAUAGAGAUCAUAUAUUUUAUACAUGUGUUUAUACUUAUAUUUAUUUAAGAUAUAUGCAUAACAUGCAAUUACAAUAGAGCAUGUAAUACCUUGUUUAUUCAAUCACACAUAAAUUCAUUUGAUUUAC